GAUGAACGCUGGCGGCGUGCCUAAUACAUGCAAGUCGAGCGAACAGACGAGGAGCUUGCUCCUCUGACGUUAGCGGCGGAGGGGUGAGUCACAUGUGGAUAACCUACCUAUAAGACUGGGAUAAUUUCGGGAAACCGGAGCUAAUACCGGAUAAUAUAUUGAAGCGCAUGGUUCAAUAGUGAAAGUCGGUUUUUCGGUCACUUAUAGAUGGAUCCGCGCCGCAUUAGCUAGUUGGUAAGGUAACGGCUUACCAAGGCAACGAGGCGUAGCCGACCUCAGAGACUGGUCGGCGACCUGGGAGCGUAGACGCGGUCCAGACUCCUGCGAGAGGCCGCAGUAUGGAAUCUUACGCAAUGGUGGAGAGCUUGACGGAACAACGCGGCGUCAGAUAUGAAGAUCCCCGGAUCGUAAAACUCUGUUUCUAGUGGAGAACAAAUGUGUAAGUAGCUGUGCACUUCUUGACGGUACCUAAUCAAGAAGCCACGGCUAACUACGUG
rnacentral:rRNA from 1 species